CCCAGUAGCGGCGAGCGAACGGGGAGCAGCCCGGAGUCUGAAUCAGCUUGUGUGUUAGUGGAACGGUCUGGAAAGUCCGACGGUACAGGGUGAUAGUCCCGUACACGAAAACACACUUGCUGUGAACUCGAAGAGUAGGGCGGGACACGUGGUAUCCUGUCUGAAUAUGGGGGGACCAUCCUCCAAGGCUAAAUACUCCUGACUGACCGAUAGUGAACCAGUAC
rnacentral:rRNA from 1 species